UUAAUUGUAACUUAAAUAAAAGUAAUUCACUGUUAAUGAAUAUAUGGUAAUACCCAAUUAAA
rnacentral:tRNA from 1 species